GCAUGGGUGCUUCAGUGGUAGGAUUCCCGCCUGCCACGCGGGAGGCCCGGGUUCAAUUUCUGGCCCGUGCA
rnacentral:tRNA from 1 species